ensembl:lncRNA
GCGUUUUUAUGGUUUAUUCAUCCAGUUUGGCAAGCAAUAACAAGAUCCAUUUUUUUGUUACUUCCUGCUGCUUCUCCUGCUCUGGUAAAAAAAACAAAAAACAUAGGCCCACCCCAGUGCAUGCUGGUCCUUUACCAGUCUCUUUAUUUAUAGAAACAAAAUGACCCUACAGCUCUUACCGACUGAUUUAACAAGGUAAACACCAAACAAACAAAACAUUGAAACAAAUAUUAACCUACAAAUAAACUUGUAAAUAAACCCGAAAAUAUAAGUAAACUAACAACAAACUUUAACAAAUUUCAAAAUAAUAGAAAUAAAGAACAAAUAGCUCCAACACUCCGGCCCCUAAUUGUACAUACAAUCAAAAUUACUUUAAAGUCCCAAAAGGAGGAGCUAUUCCCUCAAGCAGGUCCUUAAUCUUCGUUGAUGAUUUUCUUCACGAUGAGGCUUCCAGUAGCAAAAUAAGUUUUGCCACUGGCCUUUCCAAAACACUGGUCUUUGUUUGUAGUCUCACAGAAUGCACCAAGCCUUUUGCAUCCUGGUUUACACUUAAGACUUUCGCCAUCAUCCAUGAUCCUCUUGGAGCUGUAGCGUCUGCAAUCAAAACAACAUCUCCAGGUAUAAGACAUCUUUUAGUCCUCGUCCAUUUUUGUCUUUCUUGCAUCAGAGGUAGCAUGUGCGCUCUUCCUGCAUGUCCCAACCUUUGAUGGAUAUGGCGUAAAAUCAGUGUUGACACAUGCAUAUCCUUUGUCAAAAUUGCAGGAUGCUUUACUUCCAUACACAUGGCUGCUUUAUUCAAUCGGCCACCCACUCUGAGGAUUCCCACAUCCAAUACUGGAUCAAGUUUGCAGAGACAACUUCCCUUGGAGACUCCUUUGAGGCCAUUGCUGAUUAAACUAUUUCAGUUUUAAAUUUCUGUUGUUGUGCAUAUUGAAUAAUAGCUUGUUCUGCCUUUGCUAAAUCUUUUGGAGUCAGAUUUCCUUUCUUCAAAGUGGUCUUAAAUCUUUCCAUUCUUAUCUCCACUUCUUUCUGACUUUCCAGAUCAUUCUUAUCCAAACCUGAAGCAAGCAACUGUUAGGGUUCAGAAAUUGAGGAGGAAGACCAAAAAUAAUGACCACUGAUCCGGCCUGGU